UACGGGGGGGGCAAUCGUUGUUCGGAAUUACUGGGCGUAAAGGGCUCGUAGGCGGCCAACUAAGUCAGACGUGAAAUCCCUCGGCUUAACCGGGGAACUGCGUCUGAUACUGGAUGGCUUGAGUUUGGGAGAGGGAUGCGGAAUUCCAGGUGUAGCGGUGAAAUGCGUAGAUAUCUGGAGGAACACCGGUGGCGAAGGCGGCAUCCUGGACCAACACUGACGCUGAGUGAGCGAAAGCCAGGGGAGCAAACGGG
rnacentral:rRNA from 1 species